rnacentral:rRNA from 1 species
UGGGGAAUAUUGCACAAUGGGCGCAAGCCUGAUGCAGCCAUGCCGCGUGUGUGAAGAAGGCCUUCGGGUUGUAAAGCACUUUCAGCGGGGAGGAAGGCGGUGAGGUUAAUAACCUCAUCGAUUGACGUUACCCGCAGAAGAAGCACCGGCUAACUCCGUGCCAGCAGCCGCGGUAAUACGGAGGGUGCAAGCGUUAAUCGGAAUUACUGGGCGUAAAGCGCACGCAGGCGGUCUGUCAAGUCGGAUGUGAAAUCCCCGGGCUCAACCUGGGAACUGCAUUCGAAACUGGCAGGCUAGAGUCUUGUAGAGGGGGGUAGAGUUCCAGGUGUAGCGGUGAAAUGCGUAGAGAUCUGGAGGAAUACCGGUGGCGAAGGCGGCCCCCUGGACAAAGACUGACGCUCAGGUGCGAAAGCGUGGGGAGCAAACAGG